UUAAUCGCGAUUAAAUAUUUUAAUCGACUGACAGCCCUAAUUUUUACAAACUACACAAUUCCUCUCUGAUCGUUUGUAUUUUUUCUAUGAGCAGCGGCGUAAGAGCUUUAUCUUAACAUCACUAGAAUUUGAUCACAACAAUAGCAUGGAUACAAUUGAGUCCUCUUCUCACUUUCACUUAUUUCAUAAUAACACAUUUUGCAUUCUGAAUCAGGUAAAUACAACAUCGUAGUUUCUAAAUUGUUGUAUACGUGAUGUUUGAUUAUUUUUGUUGGUUUGUCGUUCUUGAUUUUCAGAUUUGCCAAGCAGAUUGAAAACCUCCGAUGCAGUGGACCUGUAUUUGCCGAAUUUAAUGGCGUUACCAGUAGGAGCCUUGAGGCAGACUUCUUUGAGGCUCUGGACCAGCACACCCCACGUUUCAUCCAACUGUUCAAAUCAAAGAAAGGAUCGGUUGGACAGAAACUGACAGAGUUGAUGCAGAGCAUCAACUGGGUGACACCAGACGUGACUGAACAGCGCUCUGUUGUCCUCAAAGGGAUUGCGAUUGUUCUUGGCGACGACUCCAACGAUUUCUUCGUUGGAGUCAGUCGGACGGACAACCCCCACCCCCAAAACGAAAACUCUUCGGUUCUCCACGAAUUACACAAGUCACCCAAAUCAGCUUUAAAAAACCGGGAGGCGCCGAAACGCGCCUAAUUUGCAUCACUGAUAUACUGUUAGGUUAGCCAAUCUCCAUUUAGCAAACACACAUUUUAAAAGCUUUUCGCCUGCCGUCUGUCUGCAGACUUGUCAAAGCAUUAAUUCAUGGUUUUUACUAACCGGUAUCAGUAUGUUGUUACUUCGGCAUCAUUUUUUAAACGUGUAUUACAAUUAAUUCACGGUCAAAUAUGUUCAUUUUGUUGUAGUUGUCGCCCCCUUGCCAGCGAUUCUCUCUCUCUAGUUUAGCAUACUCAGCCCGACUCAGCUUGGUUGUUGGCCCGCUAAGAACCUCGAUUUUAUGGGGCCAGAAAAACUGUGAAAUAGUACCCGCUAGCCGGUCCUACGCCAAGUGGCAACCAAAAACGGCACGCUUAAACCGCGCUGUAGUGGAAAUGCGCCAGUCUGCACCGAGGCCGGGCC